UACGUAGGGACCGAGCGUUGUCCGGAAUCAUUGGGCGUAAAGAGCGUGUAGGCGGCCACUUUAAGUCCUGCGUGAAAAUCUUGCGGCUCAACCGCAAGCGGUCGUGGGAAACUGGGUGGCUAGAGUGCGGGAGAGGAGAGUGGAAUUCCUGGUGUAGCGGUGGAAUGCGCAGAUAUCAGGAAGAACACCCCGUGGCGAAGGCGGCUCUCUGGAACGCAAACUGACGCUGAGACGCGAAAAAGCGUGGGGGGAGCAAAACAGG
rnacentral:rRNA from 1 species